rnacentral:RNase_MRP_RNA from 1 species
ACAACAGGUGAAGUCCCGCUUUGCUGAUUAUUAUACACGUAUAAUUAUUGGUGAGGAAAGUCUUCGGUCGAUUUUGGCAGAAAUGCUCCAUCGAAAGAUGGUCCCUAUCACACCGUUGGAUCGCACGACGAAGAAGUCUUCGGAUGGAGUCAGAUUUAACAUGGUAGGGAACAGAUCUGUACAAUCCACUCUCUGAGGGGAUUGUAUGGUGUUGACAUAUCACAGUAUUCCACAUGAUUGCGGGAUGAUGCAUCGCAUCUAACCCAACGAGGCUUACUCUCACCUGUUG